AUUUAAAUAGCUUAUAUUUAGAGUUUAAUAUUGAAGAUAUUAAGGAAAUUUUUAAAAUUUUUAAAUA
rnacentral:tRNA from 1 species